rnacentral:rRNA from 1 species
UACAGAGGUGGCGAGCGUUGUUCGGAAUUACUGGGCGUAAAGGGCGCGUAGGCGGUCUUCUAAGUCUUGUGUGAAAUCCCUCGGCUCAACUGAGGAACUGCACGGGAUACUGGAAGACUUGAGUUCGGGAGAGGGAAGCGGAAUUCCGGGUGUAGCGGUGAAAUGCGUAGAUAUCCGGAGGAACACCGGUGGCGUAGGCGGCUUCCUGGGCCGAUUACUGACGCUGAGGCGCGAAAGCUAGGGGAGCAAACGGG